UACGUAGGGUGCGAGCGUUGUCCGGAAUUAUUGGGCGUAAAGGGCUCGUAGGCGGUCUGUCACGUCGGGAGUGAAAACUCAGGGCUUAACCCUGAGCCUGCUUCCGAUACGGGCUGACUAGAGGUAUGCAGGGGAGAACGGAAUUCCUGGUGUAGCGGUGAAAUGCGCAGAUAUCAGGAGGAACACCGAUGGCGAAGGCAGAUCUCUGGGCCGUAACUGACGCUGAGGAGCGAAAGCAUGGGGAGCGAACAGG
rnacentral:rRNA from 1 species